rnacentral:rRNA from 1 species
AUUGAACGCUGGCGGAAGGCCUAACACAUGCAAGUCGAACGAGUGGCGGACGGGUGAGUAAUGUCUGGGAAACUGCAUGAUUGAUGGGGAUAACUACUGGAAACGGUAGCUAAUACCGCAUAACAUCAGAUGUGCCCAGAUGGGAUGAGCUUGUUGGUGGGGUAACGGCUCACCAAGACGACGAUCACUAGCUGGUCUGCGAGGAUGACCAGCAACACUGGAACUGAGACACGGUCCAUACUCCUACGGGAGGCAGCAUUGGGGAAGAUUGCACAAUGGGCGCAAGCCUGAUGCAGCCAUGCCGCGGGUAUGAAGAAGGCCUUCGGGUUGUAAAGUACUUUCAGCGGGGAGGCGUUACCCGCAGAAGAAGCACCGGCUAACUCCGUGCCAGCAGCCGCGGUAAUAC